rnacentral:rRNA from 1 species
AGCCAUAAUUCUAGUUCAACUACACCCCACAUCACAAGUUACAAUAAACUAAAACAUUACCUAACUUUAGUAAAGGCGAUAGAACAAAAAAUAGGAACAAUAAAUAAAGUACCGCAAGGGAACGAUGAAAUAGAAAUGAAAAAACUCAUUAAAGCAUAAAAAAGCAAAGACCCCCCCUUGUACCUUUUGCAUCAUGGUCUGACAAGUCAAUCCAAGCAAAAAGAAUUUCAGCUUGUUCCCCCGAAACUAAGCGAGCUACUCCUGGACAGCUCCGAGAGCAAACCCGUCUCUGUGGCAAAAGAGUGGAAAGAUCCACGAGUAGUGGUGAUAGACCUAACGAGCUUAGUGAUAGCUGGUUGCCCGAGAAAAGAACAUAAAUUCUGCCUUAAAACUUAGACACCAUCAAAGUGCACCCCAGCUUUAAGAGUUAUUCAAACGAGGUACAGCUCGUUUGAAACAGGAAACAACCUAACACCUAGGUAAAGAUUAUACUUUUUAAGGUCUUGACAAAGUUGGCCUAAAAGCAGCCACCUUGUAAGAAAGCGUCACAGCUCAAACAAACUACCACACUAAUACCUAUAACUUCUUCUAACCCUACCAAACUAUCGAGCCCAUUUAUAUUGUAUAAAAAGUUUAUGUUAGAACUAG